rnacentral:RNase_P_RNA from 1 species
GAUCGCGGCCGGCAGGACCGAAAGGGGCCGGCUGAGGAAAGUCCGGGCUUCACAGGGCAGGAUGCCGGAUAACGUCCGGCGGAGGCGACUCCAGGGAAAGUGCAGCAGAAAUAUACCGCUGUGCCAUCACAGUAAGGGUGAAAAGGCAGUGUAAGAGACUACCGACAUUCUGGUGACAGGAUGUGCCAUGUAAACCCCAUCCGAAGCAAGACCGAAAGGAAGACUAUGUGGCUGCCCGUCACGUCUUCAGGUGGGUCGCUUGAGCCUGCCGGCAACGGCAGGACACAGACAGAUGAUCGUACAAGACAUAACCCGGCUUAUCGCUCUGCUGA